GUCAGCACCCCUGCUUAAAGGCUAGGGGCUUCAUGCCUCAAGCUUUUAGGAUUAGCAGACCCGAUGGCGUGGGAGAGGUUCGUACUCACUAUUACCACGCAGCCGUUACAGAGAAGUGUUCAAGUUCUCACCUUCGGAUACGUGAUGCCAGUCCGUCGCUCUGAAACCAAACAAUUAAACAGGUUUAUAAGGGUAAGCCAGUGUUGUUUGGAAAGUACCGCUCUGUAACUCGUCUAGGCUCACAUUAC
rfam:Scytonema hofmannii PCC 7110 genomic scaffold Scaffold1, whole genome shotgun sequence.